rnacentral:rRNA from 1 species
UAUAAACUGUUUUAAAGGUAGUAAAAUAAAUAUAAACCUAUAUAUAGUGGCGGCAUUUCAUCUUAUUAGAGGAAUAUGUUUCCUAAUAGACUUUACACAAUAAAUUUUACUUAUAAUAAAAUCUUAUAUACCUCCGUCUAAAGAAUUUACUAUAAAAUAAAAUUCAUGAUAAAAUUCUAAUAAGUCAGGUAAAGGUGUAGACCAUUUAUAAGAGCAAAUGUAUUACUUUAAGAAAAACUUUAAGGAUAAAACAGAAAACAGUUUUAACAAAAAGGAUUUAAAUGUAAUAAAAUAAUAUUAUUUUUUUAUGUAAAAGAAAAUAAAUGUGC